rnacentral:rRNA from 1 species
GAUGAACGCUGGCGGCGUGCUUAACACAUGCAAGUCGAACGAUGAAGCCCAGCUUGCUGGGUGGAUUAGUGGCGAACGGGUGAGUAACACGUGAGUAACCUGCCCUUAACUCUGGGAUAAGCCUGGGAAACUGGGUCUAAUACCGGAUAGGAGCGCCUACCGCAUGGUGGGUGUUGGAAAGAUUUAUCGGUUUUGGAUGGACUCGCGGCCUAUCAGCUUGUUGGUGAGGUAAUGGCUCACCAAGGCGACGACGGGUAGCCGGCCUGAGAGGGUGACCGGCCACACUGGGACUGAGACACGGCCCAGACUCCUACGGGAGGCAGCAGUGGGGAACAUUGCACAAUGGGCGAAAGCCUGAUGCAGCGACGCCGCGUGAGGGAUGACGGCCUUCGGGUUGUAAACCUCUUUCAGUAGGGAAGAAGCGAAAGUGACGGUACCUGCAGAAGAAGCACCGGCUAACUACGUG